CAGUAGCCGCGGUAAUACGUAUGGUGCAAGCGUUAUCCGGAAUUAUUUGGCGUAAAGAGCUCGUAGGCGGUUUGUCGCGUCUGUCGUGAAAGUCCGGGGCUCAACUCCGGAUCUGCGGUGGGUACGGGCAGACUAGAGUGAUGUAGGGGAGACUGGAAUUCCUGGUGUAGCGGUGGAAUGCGCAGAUAUCAGGAGGAACACCGAUGGCGAAGGCAUGUCUCUUGGCAUUAACUGACGCUGAGGAGCCAAAGCAUGGGGAGCGAACAGGAUUAGAGACCCGCGUAGUCCCUGUCUCUUAUAC
rnacentral:rRNA from 1 species